GGGCUGUAGCUCAAGGGAGGGGAGCACCACCUUUGCAUGCAGAAGGUCACAGGUUCAAUCCCUGCCGGCAUCU